rnacentral:rRNA from 1 species
AUUGAACGCUGGCGGCAGGCCUAACACAUGCAAGUCGAGCGGAUGAAGGGAGCUUUCUCCUGUAUUCAGCGGCGGACGGGUGAGUAAUGCCUAGGAAUCUGCCUUAUCUUUGGGGAUAACGUCCGUAAACGGGCGCUAAUACCGCAUCCGUCCUGAUGUAGAAAGUGGGGGAUCUUCAGACCUCACGCUUUCAGCUGUGCCUAAGUCGGAUUAGCUAGUUGGUAGGGUAAAGGCCUACCAAGGCAACGAUGCGUAACUGAUCUGAGAGGAUGAUCGGCCACACUGGAACUGAGACACGGUCCAGACUCCUACGGGAGGCAGCAGUAGGGAAUCUUCCGCAAUGGGCGAAAGCCUGACGGAGCAACGCCGCGUGAGUGAUGAAGGUCUUCGGAUCGUAAAACUCUGUUAGUAGGGAAGAACAAAUGUGAAAGUAACUAUGCACGUCUUGACGGUACCAAAUCAGAAAGCCACGGCUAACUACGUG